GAUGAAGAACGUAGCGAAAUGCGAUAAGUAGUGUGAAUUGCAGAAUUCAGUGAAUCAUCGAAUCUUUGAACGCACAUUGCGCCCCUUGGUAUUCCAUGGGGCAUGCCUGUUCGAGCGUCAUUUGUACCUUCAAGCUUUGCUUGGUGUUGGGUGUUUGUCUCGCCUUUGCGUGUAGACUCGCCUUAAAAUAAUUGGCAGCCGGCGUAUUGAUUUCGGAGCGCAGUACAUCUCGCGCUUUGCACUCAUAACGACAGCGUCCAAAAGUACAUUUUACACUCUUGAACUCGGAUCAGGUAGGGAUACCCGCUGAACUUAAGCAUAUCAAUAAGCGGAGGA
rnacentral:misc_RNA from 1 species